UACAUGGGGUGCAAACGUUGCUCGGAAUUAUUGGGCGUAAAGCGCACGUAGGCGGUUUGUUAAGUCGGAUGUGAAAUCCCUCGGCUCAACUGAGGAAGUGCACCCGAAACUGGCAAGCUUGAGUACUAAAGAGGGUCGCGGAAUUCCCGGUGUAGAGGGUGAAAUUCGUAGAUAUCGGGAGGAACACCGGUGCGAAGGCGGCGACCUGGGUAGAU
rnacentral:rRNA from 1 species